UACAUGCAAGUCGAGCGAGAAGGUGUAGCACUACACUUAGUAAAGCGGCGAACGGGUGAGGAAUGCAUGGGUAACCUACCCUCGAGUGGGGAAUAACUAGCCGAAAGGUUAGCUAAAUACCGCAUACGUUUCCGGAACUUCGGUUUCGGAAAGAAAGCAAUACCGUGGGUAUUGCGCUCCUGGAUGGGCUCAUGUCCUAUCAGCUUGUUGGUGAGGUAACGGCUCACCAAGGCUUCGACGGGUAGCUGGUCUGAGAGGACGAUCAGCCACACUGGCACUGCGACACGGGCCAGACUCCUACGGGAGGCAGCAGUAAGGAAUAUUGCGCAAUGGACGAAAGUCUGACGCAGCGACGCCGCGUGGGGGAUGAAGGUCUUCGGAUUGUAAACCCCUUUCGGGAGGGAAGAUGGAGUGGGUAACCACUUGGACGGUACCUCCAGAAGCAGCCACGGCUAACUUCGUG
rnacentral:rRNA from 1 species